AGCGUGUGUGUGUGUGCUAGUAACGAAAUGCAUGCAUUGCAUUGCAUGGCAUCGCUUCGCGGCCCACGCACGUCACGUUACGUACCUUGGGUCCGCGCGGCCCGUUCCUCCAGAGCGGCGUGGAGGUGGUGUCGCAGUUGGCGCAGCGGCGAGCGCCCGCCUCGGCGCCGCGCGCCUCCUGCUGCCUGCCGCCGUUGCAGCUGGGAGCGGGCGCCUCCCAGCUGUGCAGGCCGGCGGGCGCGCGGGCCGCCGCCCCGGCCUCGGCGCGGCGCGUGGACGGCGUGCCCAGCGAGAGCGUGCAGUCCACGGAGCCCCCGUACAGCCCGCCGCUGAAGGCCUCCCCGUCGCCGCCGCCGCAGUGCUUAUAGUAGUGGUCCGCCCCCGCCGCGGCUGCGGCGAACAGCAGCGAGCAGCCGCCGCCGCAGCUGCCGUAGAGCAGCCCGCACGUGCAGGGCGCCGCCUCGUGCAGCAUCUUGACUGGUCGCAGAUGGAUGGACGGAUGGAUCAGACAGAGCUAGCUUGUACUCCAGCGAUCGAGUUGGCUUGGCUACUACAAGCCCUUCAAGUGGUGGUGGUGGCCGCGCUGGUGCCGGGGUGAUUAAUAAUAUAGUAGGAGAGCGGCUUGGAGAAGGACAAGAGAAUAGGAGAUCGAGGGGAUGUCUCUCCUCGGAAACUGGCUGUCCACGAAGCACAAGCGCUACGGUUAGCACGCAAGCAGCUCGUGCUAUGCGCGGUGGGCGUGGCGAACUGGCGAGACGCUGUGGCUGGCUGGCGUGUGGAUGUGGGGCGGCAGGGCAUGGCGCUCCUCGGGUUCUUAUAGCGGCGACGUGGGUAGGGUAUAGCGGCUGGCGUGGCGGUGGG
rnacentral:misc_RNA from 1 species